rnacentral:rRNA from 1 species
AGAGUUUGAUUCUGGCUCAGGAUGAACGCUGGCGGCGUGCCUAACACAUUCAAGUCGAACGGAACUUGAUGAGUAGCAAUACGAAUUAAGUUUAGUGGCGGACGGGUGAGUAACGCGUGAGCAACCUGCCUUUCAAAGCGGGAUAACGACUGGAAACGGUCGCUAAUACCGCAUGAUGUAUAUGAGUCGCAUGUCUUGUAUACCAAAAGGGAAACCUGAUGAAAGAUGGGCUCGCGUCUGAUUAGAUAGUUGGUGAGGUAACGGCUCACCAAGUCUGCGAUCAGUAGCCGGACUGAGAGGUCGAACGGCCACAUUGGAACUGAGAUACGGUCCAG